rnacentral:rRNA from 1 species
UUGGAGGGCAGUCUGGUGCCAGCAGCCGCGGUAAUUCCAGCUCCAAUAGCGUAUAUUAAAGUUGUUGCAGUUAAAAAGCUCGUAGUUGAAUUUCGGGAUCAGAUUGUCGGUCGUGCCUCGGUACGCACUGGCAUUAUUGGUUCCUACCUUCUGAAGAGCCGCGAUGUCAUUAAUUUGGUGUCGUGGGGAAUCAGGACUGUUACUUUGAAAAAAUUAGAGUGUUUAAAGCAAGCUUACGCUUGAAUACAUUAGCAUGGAAUAAUGAAAUAGGACGUUUGAUUCUAUUUUGUUGGUUUCUAGGAUUGACGUAAUGAUUAAUAGGGAUAGUUGGGGGCAUUAGUAUUCAAUUGUCAGAGGUGAAAUUCUUGGAUUUAUUGAAGACUAACUACUGCGAAAGCAUUUGCCAAGGAUGUUUUCAUUAAUCAAGAACGAAAGUUAGGGGAUCGAAGACGAUCAGAUACCGUCGUAGUCUUAACCAUAAACUAUGCCGACUAGGGAUCGGAUGAUGUUAAUUUUUUAAUGACUCAUUCGGCGCCUUACGGGAAAC